GGAGUUGUGGCUCAGGUGGUUAGAGGGUUGGUUGAGACGAAAGGGUCGGGGGUUCGACUCCCACUAGUGUUA